rnacentral:rRNA from 1 species
GUUGUAUAGUUAAGUAAUGAAGCGUACAGGGCGGAUGCCUUGGCAAUCAGAGGCGAAGAAGGACGUGCUAAUCUGCGAAAAGCUUGGAUGAGUUGAUAAGAAGCGUUUAAUCCAAGAUGUCCGAAUGGGGAAACCCAGUAGAUGAAGAAUCUACUAUCAUUAACUGAAUCCAUAGGUUAAUGAGGCGAACCGGGAGAACUGAAACAUCUAAGUACCCCGAGGAAAAGAAAUCAACCGAGAUUCCGUCAGUAGCGGCGAGCGAAAGCGGAGUAGCCAGUAAGUGAUAGUUUUGUUAUCAGUAGAAGGUGUUGGAAAGCACUGCCAUAGCGGGUGAUAGCCCCGUAUACGAAGAUAAUGGAAUGGUACUAGGCUUACGAGAAGUAGUGCGGGACACGAGGAAUCCUGUAUGAAGAUAGGGGGCCCAUCCUCUAAGGCUAAAUACUCCUGAUUGACCGAUAGUGAACCAGUACUGUGAAGGAAAGGCGAAAAGAAUCCCGGUGAGGGGAGUGAAAUAGAACCUGAAACCCUGUACGUACAAGCAGUGGGAGCCUGUUAAGGGUGACUGCGUACCUUUUGUAUAAUGGGUCAGCGACUUAUAUUUUGUAGCGAGGUUAACCGCAUAGGGAAGCCGAAGGGAAACCGAGUCUUAACUGGGCGAGAAGUUGCAAGGUAUAGACCCGAAACCCGGUGAUCUAGCCAUGGGCAGGUUGAAGGUUGGGUAACACUAACUGGAGGACCGAACCGACUAAUGUUGAAAAAUUAGCGGAUGACUUGUGGCUGGGGGUGAAAGGCCAAUCAAACCGGGAGAUAGCUGGUUCUCCCCGAAAUCUAUUUAGGUAGAGCCUUAAGUGAAUACCUUCGGGGGUAGAGCACUGUUUCGGCUAGGGGUCCAUCCCGGAUUACCAACCCGAUGCAAACUGCGAAUACCGAAGAGUAAUGCUUAGGAGACACACGGCGGGUGCUAACGUCCGUCGUGGAGAGGGAAACAACCCAGACCGCCAGCUAAGGUCCCGAAGUCUAUAUUAAGUGGGAAACGAAGUGGGAAGGCUUAGACAGCUAGGAUGUUGGCUUAGAAGCAGCCACCAUUUAAAGAAAGCGUAAUAGCUCACUAGUCGAGUCGGCCUGCGCGGAAGAUGUAACGGGGCUAAAAUAUAGCACCGAAGCUGCGGCAUCAGGCGUAUCACUAAUAAGUCUAAUGAGAGACGAUUAACAACGUGUUCGCGUAGCGAACGGGUUGUUCAAGCGUCAACCACGUUGAGUGGUAAAGAGGUAGAAAAAUAGACAUAUUAGUGAUACGCCUGUUGGGUAGGGGAGCGUUGUGUAAGCCGUAGAAGGUGUAUUGAGAAGUAUGCUGGAGGUAUCACAAGUGCGAAUGCUGACAUAAGUAACGAUAAAACGGGUGAAAAACCCGUUCGCCGAAAGACCAAGGUUUCCUGUCCAACGUUAAUCGGGGCAGGGUGAGUCGGCCCCUAAGGCGAGGCUGAAAAGCGUAGUCGAUGGGAAACGGGUUAAUAUUCCCGUACUUGAAUAAACUGCGAUGUGGGGACGGAGCAGGUUAGGUUAGCAGUAGAUUGGAUAGUACUGUUUAAGUUUGUAGGUGGGGUUUUUAGGCAAAUCCGGAAACCUGAUAACACUGAGAAAUGAUGACGAAGCUCUACGGAGCAGAAGUAACUGAUACCCAACUUCCAGGAAAAGCCACUAAGCUUCAGGUUUAUUUAAACCGUACUGAAAACCGACACAGGUGGUUAGGUAGAGAAUACUCAGGCGCUUGAGAGAACUCGGGUGAAGGAACUAGGCAAAAUAGCACCGUAACUUCGGGAGAAGGUGCGCUGGCGUAGUGUGAAGUUUGCACAAAUGGAGCAUGAACCAGUCGAAGUGACCAGCUGGCUGCAACUGUUUAUUAAAAACACAGCACUCUGCAAACACGUAAGUGGAGGUAUAGGGUGUGAUGCCUGCCCGGUGCUGGAAGGUUAAUUGAUGGUGUCAUCGCAAGAGAAGCACUUGAUCGAAGCCCCAGUAAACGGCGGCCGUAACUAUAACGGUCCUAAGGUAGCGAAAUUCCUUGUCGGGUAAGUUCCGACCUGCACGAAUGGCAUAAUGAUGGCCAGGCUGUCUCCACCCGAGACUCAGUGAAAUUGAAAUCGCCGUGAAGAUGCGGUGUACCCGCGGCUAGACGGAAAGACCCCGUGAACCUUUACUAUAGCUUGACACUGAACCUUGAAUUUUGAUGUGUAGGAUAGGUGGGAGACUAUGAAGUGGUAACGCCAGUUAUCAUGGAGUCGUUGUUGAAAUACCACCCUUUAACGUUUGAUGUUCUAACGAAGACUGCGUAACGUGGUUUCGGACAGUGUCUGGUGGGUAGUUUGACUGGGGCGGUCUCCUCCCAAAGCGUAACGGAGGAGCACGAAGGUUUGCUAAUCACGGUCGGACAUCGUGAGGAUAGCGCAAUGGUAAAAGCAAGCUUAACUGCGAGACGGACAAGUCGAGCAGGUGCGAAAGCAGGUCAUAGUGAUCCGGUGGUUCUGAAUGGAAGGGCCAUCGCUCAACGGAUAAAAGGUACUCCGGGGAUAACAGGCUGAUACCGCCCAAGAGUUCAUAUCGACGGCGGUGUUUGGCACCUCGAUGUCGGCUCAUCACAUCCUGGGGCUGAAGUAGGUCCCAAGGGUAUGGCUGUUCGCCAUUUAAAGUGGUACGCGAGCUGGGUUUAGAACGUCGUGAGACAGUUCGGUCCCUAUCUGCCGUGGGCGUAGGAUAAUUGAGAGGGGCUGCUCCUAGUACGAGAGGACCGGAGUGGACGCAUCACUGGUGUGCCAGUUGUCUCGCCAGAGGCAUUGCUGGGUAGCUAAAUGCGGAAGAGAUAAGUGCUGAAAGCAUAUAAGCACGAAACUUGCCUUGAGAUGAGUUAUCCCAAUCUAAGGAUUGUAAGGGUUGUUUGAGACGAAGACGUAGAUAGGCUGGGUGUGUAAGUGUAGUGAUACAUUGAGCUAACCAGUACUAAUUGCCCGAGAGGCUUAACUAUACAACGCU